rnacentral:lncRNA from 13 species
UUGCAAGAAUAUCCUACAAUGAUACAAGUCAAACUCCAACUGUGUUAGAGUUAGGUAAGCCAAACAUGCACAGACAGGAUGGAGAAGACGUCAAAUGAAAACAGUUCAGCUCAUUGAAACCACUAGAAAGCUACUCAUAACACUGGCCAUAAUAUCAACAUUAUUGAAUUUCUACUGAUAUUAGAGGAGAUUGUGGUAAUCGGUGGCACGAUAUGGUGUCAUAUGAUGUAGCCGCGUUCAAGACAUGGGGACAGAGGUAGCCGCGUUCAAGAAAUGGGGACAGAGGUAGCCGCGUUCAAGACAUGGGGGCAGAGGUAGCCUCGUUCAAGACAUGGGGACAGAGGUAGCCGCAUUCAAGACAUGGGGACAGAGGUAGCUACAGAAAGACAUGGGGACAGAGGUAGCUACAGAAAGACAUGGGGACAGAGGUAGCUACAGACAGACAUGGGGACAGGGGAUAGAGGUAGCUACAGACAUUGAGAUAUGGCUAACUAUAAUAAAGUGUUCUGCCAAGCCAGCGGAAACAGUUGAUGUCUGUAGAAGGACUCUCCCCAGAGUGUCUCCACAGAGUUGACCCCAAGGAGAAGAAUAAUGAUAAGACCUUUGACCCUCGGUACAUUUAGCACUCUUUUGUUAUUAAUGUGGUUAAUAUGGAGACACUGUGUGUAUGGGAGAACGGCCCAAUCCACUGCACAUCCAUUUCCCCUCUGGCUGAUCUGAGAGAUCUCAUUGUGUAGCGCUGGUCUGACUGUGUCUCUGCUCUGAACUACUUUAUGUCAUAAACACUACAUUUUUGCUGACUCUGACAAUCCGGAACCUGGCUAAUAUUCUGUGUCCUCUGUCAUAACUGCCAUGACAGCCAGGUAUCCUGUGGCGAGACAGUAUACAGACAGCCCUGUACAAAAACAGAGUGAAUGAGGGGUUGUGUAGUGUGUAGGUUGAGGAAUGAGUGUAGCUUGAGGGUUGAAGCUCUGUGAACAUUCACAGUGGGUAUUUCCAGGAUAUGUGCCCUAGAGGUUUAUGUAUUCAGUGAAGUUUAUAUAUUCCAACAUCUCUUAAGGGGAACGCCUUUCUCUGGCUCUGUCCCACAUGCACCCUAUAUUGUACACUACUUCUGACCAGUGCCCAUUAGGAAUAGGCUGCCAUUUGGGACGUACGCUCUGUUAUCAACAGCCAUCAAUCAGUAUGGGGAUGGGUUUCAGUUCACUCACCUCCAGCCCAGACAGACCUGCCAGUUGACAAACCUUCCCCGUGGUUUGGAAAACAUAACGAAGGGUAUUUAUAGUGCUACUAGCUGGAAUUAUUGAAUGUCACCUAUAUUCAUCUUACAGUAAAUAAAGUCAGAGCCAUUUCAAGAAAUUAGUGCCUUUUUCCAAGUUACAAUACUCAAAAACAUCUAAUUAGUGGAUUGACCCAGUAACAUACAAUACAACACUGUACUGGGGAUUGUUUGGUUCACUAUUUCCUGUGUUUGAUUAACUGUUGAUAUGGACGGAUGUGUAACUUGAUGGUAUGGGAGACGUAGACAGAUGUAUCCCUUGGGGGAAGGGAAACAGGACUCAACCAAGUAUGUGUCAAUACCUAACUUUCUACAAUUAUCCGUUGUAACUAUAAUACUGAUGUACCCACCUUGGACCUGCUUAAAUGCCAGUAUCAAAUGUCUACAAUCGUUGAAUGUUAUGGUUAAAGUUUGACGCCAUUCUGGGCCUGGGACACUCUGAUAAUGUACUGUAUAUGUGAGACGGUGAUUUUGUAGCAGCUGAUGUUGUGACUUCCUACAAGCCUCUUGAGCUGAUGUUUACAGAACAUUUGGACUGUCUGAUUCAUUUAUAAAUGCCUUCUCAGAGAAGGCCUGUUAGACAUUUCUCUGGAGGUGUCUUCCUAUUGCAACUUGUAAUUAAACCAAAAUUAUUUUGAUUGAUUUGAUCUAUGUCUGUUCUCCUUUCUCUUCAUCUAGUAAUUCCCAUUAUGAACACUGAUAUUCAUUUCAUGCUCAACUGAAGGCAUAUUUUGAGUAAUGUUCAGGAUGCCUUUAUUAAAGCUGAUCAAGGUUUAAUUUGGAUAUCUCCAGGAAUGGAUAGUGAAUUGUAAGAGGAUUAUUACUCACUGUAGAAACAAUUUGCCAACUGCCAUAGCAAGUAUCUUCAGAAAGACUGCAUAGACUUUUUCUCUUCAUUUAAAGUGAGACUGUCAGAUCUCCUCAAGGAGAUGUGGGUGUAGAGUCAGGCGCAGGAGAACCGAGUUCCAAAGAAAGGGCGUUUGAUUUUCACAAUCUCAAAAGAAAACCAACAGGACUCAGGCCUACAGUAAAAUACACUGGAUAAAUCCCCCACUCAGACACAGUCCAAGGAAACCCCCCAUAGAACAUGAGCUAAAUAAAACGCACCCCAACCUCACUGACAGUUCAACGAAAAUAAUCCCGCACAAAACCCCAAAGGAAAUGUGGAAUUAAAUAACCCCCAUAAUUAACCAAAGUGAAACCAGGUGAAACACAAAACAGACAUAACCAAAAGAAAAGGAAAAGGGAUCGGUGGCAGCUAGUAGACCGGCGACGACGACCGCCGAGCGCCGCCCGAACAGGAAGAGGAGCCCUUUUCAGUGGAAGUCGUGACAGAGACAGAGAUAUGAGAAGUGUGGGUUGAAAAUGAAAAGACAAUGAAGAAACAAGUGGGCCUAAACUAUGGUCCUACUCAACCAAAACACACUAUCUCAUCUAAACAGGGACUCUUGAACUAUUAUCAACAGGAUAUGAUGCUUUUUUAGACAUAGAUGGAAAUAACUAUUUAAGUUAUUCUGUACUAUAAUGACUCAACUAGCUACAGUGUGUGGCAAUUGAGAUCGACAUUUAUUUACAUGUCCUUUGUGGGAACAGAUAUGUGUUUACAUGAUAUGUUAACAUGUAUUUACUGAACUUGUGACAACUGCCUUCUCAAUACACAGUAGAUAUGGGCUACAGAACAUUUGCACUCAUCCUGCACCUCAGCAGGCUCUGCCUCUGCUGGAUCAUACAUAAUUACUGUUUCAGUCGGUUUGAUGUGCGCACAGCAACAGUACAGAGGCGUUCCCUGCAGGAGGGUAGCACCCCCAGUGAUGUCACUUCUGUAACUGGGGCUUGACAGCAUGAGCGUCCCUAGCAGCCCUUUAAAUAUCGCAGGCGGCGCUCACAGUGCUCACUCACUCCAAUCCCUAGCGCACGAGCGAGUAGUGUUCCCUCCCUCAUACAACCCCAGUCAAAGAAGUUGCUGGACCAGCU